rnacentral:lncRNA from 1 species
AACACCUACUAAUUUCUGUCACCUACCAUUUUCGUUUUAGGACAUUGGUCAAACGUUGACCCAUGGACCUUGGACUGAAGGCCACUUGGCAAGAGGUCAUUGGAGAUUUUUUAUGGAGUGUCCACCUGCUAAAUUAGGCCUCAAAGUGGGCACCAUAUUCAGAUUGGGCAUGCACCUCAAGUGGAUAAGGAUAGAGUCCCAUGAGAUGAGGA